UACGUAGGUGGCAAGCGUUAUCCGGAAUUAUUGGGCGUAAAGAGCGCGCAGGUGGUUGAUUAAGUCUGAUGUGGAAGCCCACGGCUUAACCGUGGAGGGUCGAUCGGAAACUGGUCGACUUGAGUGCAGAAGAGGGAAGUGGAAUUCCAUGUGUAGCGGUGAAAUGCGUAGAGAUAUGGAGGAACACCAGUGGCGAAGGCGGCUUCCUGGUCUGUAACUGACACUGAGGCGCGAAAGCGUGGGGAGGCAAACAGGAUUAGAUACCCUUA
rnacentral:rRNA from 1 species